rnacentral:rRNA from 1 species
GACGAACGCUGGCGGCGUGCCUAAUACAUGCAAGUUGAGCGAUGAAGAUUGGUGCUUGCACCAAUUUGAAGAGCAGCGAACGGGUGAGUAACGCGUGGGGAAUCUGCCUUUGAGCGGGGGACAACAUUUGGAAACGAAUGCUAAUACCGCAUAACAACUUUAAACAUAAGUUUUAAGUUUGAAAGAUGCAAUUGCAUCACUCAAAGAUGAUCCCGCGUUGUAUUAGCUAGUUGGUGAGGUAAAGGCUCACCAAGGCGAUGAUACAUAGCCGACCUGAGAGGGUGAUCGGCCACAUUGGGACUGAGACACGGCCCAAACUCCUACGGGAGGCAGCAGUAGGGAAUCUUCGGCAAUGGACGAAAGUCUGACCGAGCAACGCCGCGUGAGUGAAGAAGGUUUUCGGAUCGUAAAACUCUGUUGGUGGAGAAGAACGUUGGUGAGAGUGGAAAGCUCAUCAAGUGACGGUAACUACCCAGAAAGGGACGGCUAACUACGUG